GAGGGUGUAGCUCAGUAGUAGAGCAUGUGCUUAGCAUGCACAAGGUCCUGGGUUCAAUCCCCAGUACCUCCA
rnacentral:tRNA from 1 species